rnacentral:lncRNA from 1 species
AGAACCUCAACUUUAAUUACCACAUAAAACAAAGUGUUCCCUAGUGGAGGCUCAGAAAACUUUAAAUCAUUGGGAAUCAACAUAAAAACCAAAUUAUUGGAAUGGAGAAUCCUCGAAGGGCUGGGGCCAAUCCACAGGUCCAGCGAAGAAACAGUUUGUGCCCUGCAGCACAAACGUGUCCAGCAUGUCAAGCAUGUGCCUGUACAGCCCAGAGGAGAAACGCUCUGAAUCUGAGAGGACCGGUUCUGCGAGACCACAGAAGAAUGGCAGACCCCAUAUGGAACAGGAUUAUCUGUCUGGCUGGCACCCUGGAAAAGAAGUUACAUGUUCCACAUACCACUUCUCCAAUGGACACGGCUUCUCAAUUAAAAGAUCAGGAUUCUGGUGUAUGUGUGUGUACAGAUACUUAAGUAGACCUACCAUCAAUCGGUGUAGCGGCAGAAAAAAAACAGUAUGUGUAAGCGUUUGGUAAGAAUUCUAUAUC